rnacentral:rRNA from 1 species
AUGAACAUGUCAUCUGUUCAGAGGCAAUCAACAUCAGGCACUGUUGAAAUUCUGCUUUCUUUCCAUCUCCAUUACAGCACGAAUCUUAACACUGACGGCAGGAAGUACAGACACAUAAUAGAAUUCUGUCACAGCCAAGAUGAGCUUUUACUGAUUUCCAGGAAUGCAUCUCCAUCACCAUCCUCUGCCAGGAGUUUGCAUGCUCAUCUCCAGUUGCCAAUGGCCUUUAUACUGACUGCAGACUUUCUUAUCCAUAUGCAACCCCUUUAUACUGUUCAGGAAAUUGAGUUCGUCCCCGUCAAGAAACUAUAUAUCGCCAACCUUUGCCAUGAUCAGCUUUCGUGA